GACAGAANGGAGCUUGCUCCCGGAUGUUAGCGGCGGACGGGUGAGUAACACGUGGGUAACCUGCCUGUAAGACUGGGAUAACUCCGGGAAACCGGAGCUAAUACCGGAUAGUUCCUUGAACCGCAUGGUUCAAGGAUGAAAGACGGUUUCGGCUGUCACUUACAGAUGGACCCGCGGCGCAUUAGCUAGUUGGUGAGGUAACGGCUCACCAAGGCGACGAUGCGUAGCCGACCUGAGAGGGUGAUCGGCCACACUGGGACUGAGACACGGCCCAGACUCCUACGGGAGGCAGCAGUAGGGAAUCUUCCGCAAUGGACGAAAGUCUGACGGAGCAACGCCGCGUGAGUGAUGAAGGUUUUCGGAUCGUAAAGCUCUGUUGUUAGGGAAGAACAAGUGCAAGAGUAACUGCUUGCACCUUGACGGUACCUAACCAGAAAGCCACGGCUAACUACGUGCCAGCAGCCGCGGUAAUACGUAGGUGGCAAGCGUUGUCCGGAAUUAUUGGGCGUAAAGGGCUCGCAGGCGGUUUCUUAAGUCUGAUGUGAAAGCCCCCGGCUCAACCGGGGAGGGUCAUUGGAAACUGGGAAACUUGAGUGCAGAAGAGGAGAGUGGAAUUCCACGUGUAGCGGUGAAAUGCGUAGAGAUGUGGAGGAACACCAGUGGCGAAGGCGACUCUCUGGUCUGUAACUGACGCUGAGGAGCGAAAGCGUGGGGAGCGAACAGGAUUAGAUACCCUGGUAGUCCACGCCGUANACGAUGAGUGCUAAGUGUUAGGGGGUUUCCGCCCCUUAGUGCUGCAGCUAACGCAUUAAGCACUCCGCCUGGGGGAGUACGGUCGCAAGACUGAAACUCAAAGGAAUUGACGGGGGCCCGCACAAGCGGUGGAGCANGNGGUUNUAAUUCGAAGCAACGCGAAAGAACCUUACCAGGUCUUGACAUCCUCUGACAACCCUANANNAUAGGGCUUUUCCCUUCGGGGACGGCUCNUAAGGUACCUCACCGACUUCGGGNGUUGCAAACUCUCGUGGUGUGACGGGCGGUGUGUACAAGGCCCGGGAACGUAUUCACCGCGGCAUGCUGAUCCGCGAUUACUAGCGAUUCCAGCUUCACGCAGUCGAGUUGCAGACUGCGAUCCGAACUGAGAACAGAUUUGUGGGAUUGGCUAAACCUUGCGGUCUCGCAGCCCUUUGUUCUGUCCAUUGUAGCACGUGUGUAGCCCAGGUCAUAAGGGGCAUGAUGAUUUGACGUCAUCCCCACCUUCCUCCGGUUUGUCACCGGCAGUCACCUUAGAGUGCCCAACUGAAUGCUGGCAACUAAGAUCAAGGGUUGCGCUCGUUGCGGGACUUAACCCAACAUCUCACGACACGAGCUGACGACAACCAUGCACCACCUGUCACUCUG
rnacentral:rRNA from 1 species